rnacentral:rRNA from 1 species
UACGAAGGGUGCAAGCGUUACUCGGAAUUACUGGGCGUAAAGCGUGCGUAGGCGGUUUGUUAAGUCCGUUGUGAAAGCCCUUGGCUCAACUGAGGAAGUGCAUCCGAAACUGGCAGGCUAGAGUACUAAAGAGGAUCGCGGAAUUCCCGGUGUAGAGGUGAAAUUCGUAGAUAUCGGGAGGAACACCGGUGGCGAAGGCGGCGAUCUGGGUAGAUACUGACGCUGAGGUGCGAAAGCGUGGGGAGCAAACAGGG